rnacentral:rRNA from 2 species
AGCAAUUAUACAGCGAAACUGCGAAUGGCUCAUUAUAUAAGUUAUCGUUUAUUUGAUAGUACCUUACUACUUGGAUAACCGUGGUAAUUCUAGAGCUAAUACAUGCUAAAAAUCCCGACUCCGGAAGGGAUGUAUUUAUUAGAUUAAAAACCAAUGCCCUCUGGGCUCCUUGGUGAUUCACAAUAACUUUUCGAAUCGCACGGCCUUGCGCCGGCGAUGGUUCAUUCAAAUUUCUUCCCUAUCAACUUUCGAUGUUUGGGUAUUGGCCAAACAUGGUCGCAACGGGUAACGGAGGGUUAGGGCUCGACCCCGGAGAAGGAGCCUGAGAAACGGCUACUACAUCCAAGGAAGGCAGCAGGCGCGCAAAUUACCCAAUCCCGAUUCGGGGAGGUAGUGACAAUAAAUACUGAUACAGGGCUCUUUUGGGUCUUGUAAUUGGAAUGAGUACAAUUUAAAUCCCUUAACGAGGAACAAUUGGAGGGCAAGUCUGGUGCCAGCAGCCGCGGUAAUUCCAGCUCCAAUAGCGUAUAUUAAAGUUGUUGUGGUUAAAAAGCUCGUAGUUGAACCUUGGGCCUGGCUGGCCGGUCCGCCUCACCGCGUGCACUGGUCCGGCCGGGCCUUUCCCUCUGUGGAACCCCAUGCCCUUCACUGGGUGUGGCGGGGAAACAGGACUUUUACUUUGAAAAAAUUAGAGUGCUCCAGGCAGGCCUAUGCUCGAAUACAUUAGCAUGGAAUAAUAAAAUAGGACGCGUGGUUCUAUUUUGUUGGUUUCUAGGACCGCCGUAAUGAUUAAUAGGGACAGUCGGGGGCAUCAGUAUUCAAUUGUCAGAGGUGAAAUUCUUGGAUUUAUUGAAGACUAACUACUGCGAAAGCAUUUGCCAAGGAUGUUUUCAUUAAUCAGGAACGAAAGUUAGGGGAUCGAAGACGAUCAGAUACCGUCGUAGUCUUAACCAUAAACUAUGCCGACUAGGGAUCGGACGAUGUUAUUUUUUGACGCGUUCGGCACCUUACGAGAAAUCAAAGUGCU